GAUGAACGCUGGCGGCGUGCUUAACACAUGCAAGUCGAGCGAAGCGCUUUGGAAAGAUUCUUCGGAUGAUUUCCUUUGUGACUGAGCGGCGGACGGGUGAGUAACGCGUGGGUAACCUGCCUCAUAUAGGGGGAUAACAGUUAGAAAUGACUGCUAAUACCGCAUAAGACCACGGAGUCGCAUGACUCAGUGGGAAAAACUCUGGUGGUAUGAGAUGGACCCGCGUCUGAUUAGGUAGUUGGUGGGGUAACGGCCUACCAAGCCGACGAUCAGUAGCCGACCUGGGAGGGUGACCGGCCACAUUGGGACUGAGACACGGCCCAAACUCCUACGGGAGGCAGCAGUGGGGAAUAUUGCACAAUGGGGGAAACCCUGAUGCAGCGACGCCGCGUGAGCGAAGAAGUAUUUCGGUAUGUAAAGCUCUAUCAGCAGGGAAGAAAAUGACGGUACCUGACUAAGAAGCACCGGCUAAAUACGUACCAGCAGCCGCCGUAAUAC
rnacentral:rRNA from 1 species